GAAGGCAGCUUUCUGGAUCAUUACUGACACUGAGGAACGAAAGCAUGGGUAGCGAAGAGGAUUAGAUACCCUCGUAGUCCAUGCCGUAAACGAUGUGUGUUAGACGUUGGAAAUUUAUUUUCAGUGUCGCAGGGAAACCGAUAAACACACCGCCUGGGGAGUACGACCGCAAGGUUAAAACUCAAAUGAAUUGACGGGGACCCGCACAAGUAGUGGAGCAUGUGGUUUAAUUCGAAGAUACGCGCAGAACCUUACCAACACUUGACAUGUUCGUCGCGACUCUAAGAGAUUAGAGUUUUCGGUUUGGCCGGACGAAACACAGGUGCUGCAUGGCUGUCGUCAGCUCGUGUCGUGAGAUGUUGGGUUAGGUCCCGCAACGAGCGCAACCCUCACUUUUAGUUGCCAUCAUUAAGUUGGGCACUCUGAAAGAACUGCCAGUGAUAAGCUGGAGGAAGGUGGGGAUGACGUCAAGUCCUCAUGGCCCUUACGUGUUGGGCUACACACGUGCUACAAUGGCAUCUACAACAGGAAGCAAAACGGCAACGUUAAGCAAAUCCCGAAAAGAUGCCUCAGUUCGGAUUGCACUCUGCAACUCGAGUGCAUGAAGCUGGAAUUACUAGUAAUCGUGGAUCAGCGUGCCACGGUGAAUGCGUUCCCGGGUCUUGUACACACCGCCCGUCACACCAUGGGAGUUGGUUCUACCUUAAGGCAAGGUUUUAAACCCUUGACCACGGUAUAGUCAGCGACUGGGGUGAAGUCGUAACAAGGUAACCGUA
rnacentral:rRNA from 1 species